CAUUCUGGUUGUUUUUAAUGCAAUUUUCUUUAUUUUUUGGAUGGAAAUUUCGGGAUUUUUGGGGAAUAAUUGGGAUUCCGGACCUGGGGAGGAGCCUGCAUUUUAGCCCCGCCCACAGCCCCGCCCACUCCCAUAUUUGGGCAUAUUCUGGUUGAUUUUAAUGCAAUUUUUUGUAUUUUUUGGGUGGAAAUUUCGGGAUUUUUGGGGUAAAUUCUGGGAAUAUUUUGGGAUUCAGGCCCAGGGGCGGAGCCUGC
rnacentral:lncRNA from 1 species